rnacentral:lncRNA from 1 species
CGGAUGGUCACGUGAGGAGUGUUCCUCACACCCUAACAAAUCCAGGAGUAGAAAACUGGCGAGCAGCUAGGCGGCGGACCGCCCUACAGUGGCUCGGUAAGUCAACUUUGAAGCGGCUCUUUAAAGGACUUGGGUUUUGCGUGCUGUAAACUCGGAAAAAGUCAGCUCGGGCCGUCCCUCUCAAGUUCACAGCCCAGGAAAGAACAGCGGAAGCGCUGGCACCAAGUCAGAGACGUUAAGCCGUCGAAUAUACUAAACAUCACAUGCCACCAAGAACUCUUCCCAGCCCUUUUUCGGUUUUACGACCUUGUUUAAUAUAUGUCUUACCUUCCUCCGAAAGACGUUAGAAAUAGAUCUGUUUUGUUUGCGUCCAACUCAAAGUUGGGCACAGUGUCGGAGUUCAGUAAAUAUUGGUGAAUGAAUCAAUGAAGACCUGUAAAUAGAGAAAAAGAAAAGAAAAAAACACGGAAGGUGAUGAGACUGAAUCACAAAGCUUCCCGUGAUCCAAAGUCUUUAGCCUCCAACUUUCAAUUAGGUAUGCCCCAAAGGACCUUCGAUAUACCAAAAUCCCCCCCCCCGCUCCUAAUCUAGUCUAAUUCUAAUUGAAUUAACUGCUCCGCUUUAACAAAAAACCCUGGAGGGUGUGGACCCUGGUGGAGAGCUGAAGACCUGAUCACACCAAGCCCCUGGAGAGCAAGGGAUGUUUGGUUCACUCUUUUGACCCGUGACUUUGAACGGAGUAUUGCUCAGCAACUCGUUGUGGAAUGAAUAAAUGAAGAGGAAUGGGAAAAUCCUCAAGUUUUGUAGCCCCCAAUGUCUUUUGGGUCCUCCAAAGGGAACAUAGGACAGGAACGUCCAAAGACUAUCCUUUACUCAUUUACAUCAGCUUCAUCGAGAUAUAAAAUACUUGUUUUCUUGCUGCCACCUGCUGGAUUAUUUGUCUUCUAGGUACUGAAGGUAAACAAACAUNGAUUGGGAUUACUAUUCAAUACUGUUUACUACUGAAGUAUUUUAAGAUGGCCUAUACCUAUACUCUCCACCCAACUAAACAUACAACUAGACAGCUUGGACACAGGAUUUGACUCACAGGUAUGCAGUAAACAAAUAUCAAACAGAAAAGGUAUUUAAGAAAAAAAAUAUAUCAAUUGAAUAAAUUAUCCUUGUUUUCAGAAAAGACA